rnacentral:rRNA from 1 species
CAGUCGCCGCGGUAAUGCGAAGGGUGCAAGCGUUACUCGGAAUUACUGGGCGUAAAGGGCUCGCAGGCGGUUUCUUAAGUCUGAUGUGAAGGCCCCCGGCUCAACCGGGGAGGGUCAUUGGAAACUGGGAAACUUGAGUGCAGAAGAGGAGAGUGGAAUUCCACGUGUAGCGGUGAAAUGCGUAGAGAUGUGGAGGAACACCAGUGGCGAAGGCGACUCUCUGGUCUGUAACUGACGCUGAGGAGCGAAAGCGUGGGGAGCGAACAGGAUUAGAGACCCCCGUAGUCCCUGUCUCUUAUAC